UUUUAUUGGCGAUGAUGAUCAAUGCUUAAUUUCUGACACCUCUUGUAUGAGAAGAGAUUGAUAACCUCUUCUUUGAGCGCAUUAUGCAAUACUCUGAGCCUACCAAUGUUUUUUUUUAGAAGACCAAUUUUUGGAUCUGAAUUUGUGAGUGUGAUGAUUGUAAAUGUAAUUCCUCGUACUGAAAGCUAUUGGCUUGAUAGACUCACAUUACACCCAUAGAAUAUGAGCACUCACUCUUCAAAAUCCAUUUUUUUUGUCACUUUGGUUUUUGUGUUAUUAGCAUUGGAAAUUUUAUUACUUUUGUUGUGUUGUAGAAUUGAAGUAGAUGGAAAAGAUUGUUUUUUUGAAUUGUUGUUGCUCUCAUUGAGCAAUGCCCAUUUGCUACAAUGGUAUUGAUUAGUGUUUUGUUGUUGUUUUGUGUGAAAGUAAUGGUGGUAAUUGGUGAUGAUGAAUAAUGCUAAAUUUCUGACACCUCUUGUAUGAGGAGAGAUUGAUAACCUCUCCUUUGAGCACAUUAUGCAAUACUCUGAGCCUUAUUAUUACCAUUUGGUCUUUUUUUUUGUGGUUUGUAGAAUAUGAAUUGGGUUUGGAUGCGAUGAUUGUAAAAGUAAUUCCUCGUACUGAAUGCUCUAAAGGCAUGAUAGACUCACAUUACACCCAUAGAAUAUGAGCAUCACCCUCUUCUUCUAAUCAUUUUUCACUUUUAAUUGUUUUCUAGGUUUUUUACUAGAAUAUGUAUAUUUCAUUGUUUGUGUUUGGUUCUUUUCAAGUGCAGACAAGAACAUGUUGUUCUUUCUGGUUCAGUCCUUGUACUUUAGAUUCUGUUGGCUUUCUUGAAUCUGGUAUUUGCAUCAGCUUUCGCCAAACUGUGUUAAUUUUGACCCAGUUUUGUAUCAAUUGUGUGUUAUGGUUUAAGGUAGAUGAUACCAUUUUCUUUACUUCUGUUUGUUGAUCUUCAGUGUGAAGUUUUGCUUCCCAAGCUAUGUUAAACACUCUCUACGUUUUAAAAAUCAGUAUGAUGUCUGGCGAAAAACCAAACCUGGCAUGCAGUGUCUAAAAAUUGUGAUAUAUUGUCCGACUUCAACUCUCUGUGGAUGUUUUUUGAUAAGUUGGAAUUGGUGGAAGUGGCCAUCCAUAGAGAUACUUUUAAUUUGCAAUAGUUGUUGAUGAUUGGAACGUAGCCAUUUUUUAACCAUCUGUCUGGCACCAUAAACAGAUGAUUCUAUAUUUUCGGCUUGCAAAAUAUUGGCCAGCUUGCAUAGUUCAAUAGCCACCAUCAUGUAAUUGUGCCCUUCAGAACGAUGAUAUGUGUACAUAUUUGUAAUUGUUUCUUGAGGUUUUUCUCCCUUGCAAGAGCAUGAAAGUUCUCACUUGCUAAGUUCUGUUUGAGCCUUCACUUAAGUUUGUCUCAGCCUCAGGACUCCGUUGUGUAUUGUCAUCCUUCACUAUUUGGAACCUUGCAGGGUGUCAUUCCCGUCAAUUGAUGGAAUGUAUUAUUUGGAACAUUUUUUUGGAAGUGUACCCUUUAGAUUGAGGAUGAGGUCACAUUGGUUAACCCUUGGAGCAUCUAGAUUUAUCCAAAUGAAUCAAUAGUGUACAUUAGUUUCAUUUCUUGAAUGAAAGAUCUUUUCUUUAGUUUUAGUCAAUUUACUUAUUCUUUGCUUGCUUUGAAAUCGGUUUACGCUAAGAAGAAAACAUUGCAGAGUCUGCACCUGCUCCACUACAUACAUCAUCUUUGAAAAGUUUGUUGUGUAACAAAGUGUCCUUUGUAUGUUUUUAUUUGAUGUAGCCGUAGUUGUAGUUCUAAACAAUAUUUUGAUCUUUUUUUUGUGUUUAUUCAAAUAUGUAAAGUUGUAAUUAAAGUUAUUAUAAAGUUUUUUUU
rnacentral:lncRNA from 1 species